rnacentral:rRNA from 1 species
AUAUUGCACAAUGGGGGAAACCCUGAUGCAGCGACGCCGCGUGAAGGAAGAAGUAUUUCGGUAUGUAAACUUCUAUCAGCAGGGAAGAAAAUGACGGUACCUGACUAAGAAGCCCCGGCUAACUACGUGCCAGCAGCCGCGGUAAUACGUAGGGGGCAAGCGUUAUCCGGAUUUACUGGGUGUAAAGGGAGCGUAGGCGGUCUGACAAGUCAGAAGUGAAAGCCCGGGGCUCAACCUCGGGACUGCUUUUGAAACUGCCGGACUAGAUUGCAGGAGAGGUAAGUGGAAUUCCUAGUGUAGCGGUGAAAUGCGUAGAUAUUAGGAGGAACACCAGUGGCGAAGGCGGCCAACUGGGCUUUAACUGACGCUGAGGCUCGAAAGUGUGGGGAGCAAACAG